GACGAACGCUGGCGGCGUGCCUAAUACAUGCAAGUCGAACGCAGUGGGGACGGGUGAGUAACCCGUGGGUAACCUCCCAUCAGAGGGGAUAACACUUGGAAACAGGUGCUACAACGAUACUGAUGGAUGGACCCGCGGUGCAUUAGCUAGUUGGUGAGGUAACGGCUCACCAAGGCCACGAUGCAUAGCCGAGCUGAGAGAGGGAUCGGCCACACUGGGACUGAGACACGACCCAAACUCCUACGGGAGGCAGCAGUAGGGAAUCGGCCGCAAUGGGCGAAAGCCUGACGGAGCAACGCCGCGUGAGUGAAGAAGGUUUUCGGAUCGUAAAGCUCGGUUGUAAGAGAAGCGGUAUCUUACCAGAAAGCCACGGCUAACUACGUGCCAGCAGCCGCGGUAAUUC
rnacentral:rRNA from 1 species